rnacentral:rRNA from 1 species
UGGGGAAUCUUGCCCAAUGGGCGAAAGCCUGAGGCAGCAACGCCGCGUGCGGGAUGACGGCCCUAGGGUUGUAAACCGCUUUCAGCAGGGACGAAAUUGACGGUACCUGCAGAAGAAGCUCCGGCCAACUACGUGCCAGCAGCCGCGGUAAUACGUAGGGAGCGAGCGUUGUCCGGAUUUAUUGGGCGUAAAGAGCACGUAGGCGGCCUAGUAAGUCGGGUGUGAAAACUCCAAGCUCAACUUGGAGCGGCCAUUCGAUACUGCUAUGGCUUGAGUCUGGUAGGGGAUCACGGAAUUCCUGGUGUAGCGGUGAAAUGCUUAGAUAUCAGGAGGAACACCGGUGGCGAAGGCGGUGAUCUGGGCCAGUACUGACGCUGAGGUGCGAAAGCGUGGGGAGCGAACAGG